UACGAAGGGGGCUAGCGUUGUUCGGAAUUACUGGGCGUAAAGCGUGCGCAGGCGGCUGCUCAAGUCAGGGGUGAAAGCCCAGAGCUCAACUCUGGAAUUGCCUUUGAGACUGAGUGGCUUGAGUACGGGAGAGGUGAGUGGAAUUCCCAGUGUAGAGGUGAAAAUUCGGUAGAUAUUGGGAAGAACACCGGGUGGCGAAAGCGGCGACCUGGGACGAAUACUGA
rnacentral:rRNA from 1 species